rnacentral:lncRNA from 1 species
CUGGCAGCCACCACCCAUUUCUGCAGCCAUCCCCUGUCGCUUGGCAGGUGUGGCGCAUGAUGUGCGCAGCAGUUCCCAAGCAGAGUCCUGCCCCCAAAGAUUUUGCUAAAACGACGGGACGAAGAGGAGAUGGCCGCACAAAGGGAGGCCACGGGUUAUUGGAGGGCGCAUGGAGGGAUGCCGGCAGCUGCCCUUGUUCCUAAAACAAGCCUGGAAGUGGCACCCCCCAGUCGUACACAGAUCCAACAUUUCUUCUAACAGUCCCAAUGCCCGGCUCAGUCUGAGUCGAUGCCCCACCUUUGUAGGGGGCAGAGGUGUCAUACAGCAAGAUGAUCUGUUUCAGGGAAGCUCUGGGGCGCUAUCUCCAAGAGCAGGGCUACAUGCCAGUUUCUUGAAGAACCCCCUGAAAGUAUCGUUGUGUGGAGAUGUGAUGGAGAAAGCGCGGUCUUUGGAGAUGAACAGCCCAAGGAAUGUGUCUGUGCCUUCAAGGAUUCCUACCCUCAGCCUCUCUUGUCCUUGUUUGUAC